rnacentral:lncRNA from 1 species
UAAGAUGCUUCGAUCCGAUCGUGGUGGUGAGUAUCUUAGUUCAGAGUUCCUCGACUAUCUAAGGGAAUGUGGGAUAGUCUCACAAUUGACACCUCCCAGGACACCACAGUUGAAUGGUGUGGCUGAGAGGCGUAAUCGAACCUUGUUAGAUAUGGUUCGUUCCAUGAUGAGUCGAGCUACGCUACCAAUCUCAUUCUGGGGGUAUGCCUUAGAGACUGCCGCCCAUAUUCUUAAUCUAGUCCCUACAAAGAAAGUUGCCAAAACUCCUCACGAGAUGUGGACUGGUAAAGUACCUAAACUAGACCACAUCAAGAUUUGGGGUUGCGAGGCUUUCGUGAGACGCGAGACUCAUGAUAAGCUCGAACCUCGAAGCGAGAGGUGUAUUUUCAUCGGUUACCCACAGCGAUCCUUUGGUUACCUCUUCUACAGACCUAGUGACAAUGUGGUCUUUGUAGCAAGAAGAGGAGUCUUUCGAGAAAGAGAGUUUAUAAGCCAAGGAGACAGUGGGAGGCAAAUUGAUCUUGAAGAAAUUCAAGAAUCAAGCGGUGAAGGAACUUCAAACUCUAGCCCUCAACUUGAGGAGGAAACUCCUGUUGAGCCAAUUGACAAAUCUGUACCUCUGAGACGUUCCACGAGAGUUAGGAGUGCACCUGAGCAUUACUAUGGAUUCCAUAUUACUGCAGAAGGUGAGACACUUAUUAGUGAUGAGACACUAGUAAGUCAAGAUGACCCUAACAGCUACGAGGAAGCCAUGGCAGGCCCCGAGUCUGCUAAAUGGAAAGAGGCUAUGGAUAGCGAGAUACAAUCCAUGUAUGACAAUCAAGUUUGGAACUUGGUUGAAAAUGUACCAGGUCGUAAGACAGUAGGGUGCAAAUGGGUCUUCAAGAAGAAGACCGACAUGGAUGGUAAAGUACACACUUAUAAGGCUAGACUGGUUGCAAAGGGCUUCUCUCAAAUUCCUGGAGUGGAUUAUGAUGAGACCUUUUCUCCGGUAGCCAAGAUUAAGUCUAUUCGGGUUCUGUUAGCCAUAGCUGCAUUUCAUGACUAUGAAAUAUGGCAGAUGGAUGUCAAAACCGCUUUCCUUAAUGGAAAGUUGGCUGAAGAUGUUUACAUGAGUCAGCCAGAGGGUUUUGUCAGCAACGAGUACCCUAAUAGAGUGUGUAAGCUUGAGAAAUCCAUUUAUGGAUUGAAGCAAGCACCUCGCAGAUGGAAUCUUUGCUUUGAUGAAAAGGUCAAGGAAUUUGGCUUUUCUAGGAGUGAAGAUGAAUCUUGUGUGUAUGUCAAGGCUAGUGGGAGUAUAGUUAGCUUUUUGGUAUUGUAUGUGGAUGACAUACUACUCAUAGGAAACGACAUUCCAACCCUGCAGGAAGUAAAGUCCUGGCUUGGGAAGUGUUUCGCUAUGAAGGACCUUGGUGAAGCUGCCUAUAUUCUAGGGAUAAGAAUCUUGAGAGAUCGGAGUAAAAGACUAAUUGGACUUAGUCAGAGUACCUACUUGGAUAAGGUGCUGAAGAGAUUCAGCAUGCAGGAUUCCAAGAAAGGAGAGUUACCCAUCCAGAGUAACACCAGAUUGAGUAAGACACAAAGCCCUAGCACUGAGGCUGAGAUAGCAGAAAUGAGUCGAACACCUUACGCUUCGGCUGUAGGAUCGAUCAUGUAUGCUAUGACGUGUACUCGACCCGAUGUAGCUUUUGCCUUGAGCAUGGUUAGCAGGUAUCAGGCGAACCCUGGCAAGGCACACUGGACUGCGGUAAAGAAUAUCCUCAAGUACCUACGGAGGACUAAGGACUGGGUCCUUACCCUCGGUGGGAGUGAUGACUUGAGAGUUGUAGGGUAUAGUGAUGCUAGCUUCCAGACUGAUAGGGAUAAUUUCCGCUCUCAGUCGGGCUGGGUCUUUACCCUAAACGGAGGAGCAAUUUCUUGGAAGAGUUCCAAGCAAGAGACAGUGGCAGAUUCUACUUGUGAAUCAGAGUAUAUUGCAGCUAGUGAAGCAGCAAAGGAGGCGAUAUGGCUGAAGAACUUCAUUGGAGACCUUGGAGUUGUACCAGCUAUUAAAGAGCCAAUGGAAAUUUUCUGUGAUAGUGAAAGUGCUGUUGCCUUAGCCAAGGAACCAAGGGAUCAUGGGAGAUCCAGACACAUCGACAGAAAAUACCAUUUCAUUAGACAUCGGAUCGAAGAAGGACUCCUCGUGGCAAAGAGGGUAUCAUCGGAUGAGAACCCAGCAGAUCCCCUCACGAAGGGACUGAGUAGGGUUAAGCAUCUCCAGCAUGCUCGGAGCAUAGGGCUGAAGGAUGAUAUAAGUUUUAGUAGUUAGAUAACCCAGAAAUUUGUAAAGUGUAAUUGACAUUUGAUGAUGAAUAAAAGGUGUUUUAUUUAUGAGUAAAGUGUUGCUAUCUCUUGUCGAUCGUUUACUAUAUUUCUUUUGCAUGUUUUGACUUCCAGAAUAAUUUUGUUUGGUAUAACAUAUUAUUCAAACCUCCACAGUCGGUCAUAUGUUGGAAGUAGAUAUGAAUCAAGACUGUCAUGUUUGGUUGUAGAGGUCUUGGACAAGGCUACAACAAUCAUGAGUGCUCAUAAGUUCUGAGCAUUGGACUCAACCCACGCUCACUGGAAUCACUUCAUGGAAUUCUAUCUCGAGUGAUCGUGAGACGGUAAUAUCAUAUAAGUCUUCAAACCUAGAGAUAUGAUUUGUUACUUACAAGUUGGUUAUGCAUUGACUGUACGAAACCGCAUUGGUAACUCGAUGUUAUAAAACGUACUUUUGUGUGUAAUUCAAUGAGUGGUAGAACAAACAUAUGAGUCGAAGUUUAUCUGUUCCUUCUUGGAUUAGAAGCUGAUAUCUGGGCCCCUCGAUGAUUUUGUUUUGACCCAUGUACCGGGCCCGGUCAGAACUAAGUUGAUGUGUUCAAUUAAGUUCUAUGUCAAACAAAUCGGAAAUCGGGAAACAAAUGCUGGACAAUAAGCAAGACAAUGUUCCAUGUAUUUGUCCGGCUGAUAUCUAGAACGGAGGAUUAUAUGAUCACUUAUCUUAAAUGGCGUACCAUCAUCUUCUCAGUUCCGAGAGACCUUGAAAGAGCUACGAUUGCCGGUCGGUUCCUGAAGUACUAGAGAUAUAGUUAUUAGACUUAUCCAAGUGGGAGACUGUUGGAUAAGGUGUCUAAGUCCAUAACUAUUUCGGGCUUGUACUUGACCCGACCCGGCAUGGUCCAUUUGGGUUGCAUGGCACCAUGCAAUUGGAUAGACUAAAUGAGAGAAAUAACACUUGGAGAUUAUUAAUAUAUUAUAAGUUCUAAUAUAUUAAUAAUAUUAUUUGAUUAGUUGAUCAAAGAAUUAAUUUGGAAUUAAUUAAGUGAUCAAAGGAUAACUAAUUAAAUAUAUGGGUUGAUUAUGUAAAUCAUCCAUAUCUUGUAUAGUGGGCUAAGAGGCUCCAUGGAUUAUCAAGUUGGGUUCUACCCAUAGGAUGCUCCAUGGAUGCUCCAUGGGAGUUACAAACCCAUGGGUCAUGGAAAUGAAGAGUCAUGACACAUUAGGGUUUACAUGGUGUAACCCUAGAUGUGCCAACACUAUAUAAGAGUCCCAUUCUCCACAAAAUUGGCUACACAAGUUGAACACUAAGAAACUAGAGGGCUUGGCCGAUUUUGAGAAGUGUGUGUUAUCUCAAGAGUCUUUCCAAGAGCAUUUGGUGUUGUGUGAAGCAUUUGAGGCAUCACACUUGGGGUGCUAGGCUCACAAGGUUUCAAGGAACACAAGCAACAACAAGGUAAGUUAUUCUAUCUAUGAUUCAAGUUAAAAUUGUUCCCCAUGUAUGCUAGAUAGGAAUAUAACCUUGGAAUUCAACUUUGCAUGAUAAUUAGACAAACAUAGAUCCAAGGUUAUUAGGGUUGCAUGUACACUUAGGAAGUGUUAGAAUGCUCAAAACCCAUCAGUGGUAUCAGAGCCUAGGCUUGUUUGUUUGUUAUUUGUGCUUAAAAGUUGAAGAAAGUCGAAAAUUCUGCUGUCUGACUGAUGGACUCGGCGAGUCCAUGGGGAGGACUCGUCGAGUUCAUGUGUAUCUUCAACCUACUCGGCGAGUAGGUUUAUGCACUCGGCGAGUAGGGUCGACAGAGUGCAGAAUUUCGACUUGAGUUGCUGGAAAUGGAUUAGAAUCAUUACCCUAAAAUGUUUUGGUACUUGAAAACUUAUUUUAGAAGGUGUAAUGUCUUUUCUAACUCAUUUACAACAACUAGUUAUCAAAAUUACAAAGAUUAAAUGUGAUUUUGAUUCUUGAAAGUGUUCAUAUUCAUAUUCUUGUUCUUAUGAUGUUUAGAUGAUCAUAGGAAUUAUUUGUAACCUAUGUGGUAGAUUAAUUCAUGAUCAUAAUGUGUUUUAAUGGAGUCCAUAACUUGUCCUCAAGUUAUGGAAAACCAAAAGUCUCUUGGAUUAAAAACCAUUAAAAGAACACAAGAGUUAGGAAAAAUGAAAAGUCCUCAUUUUAUUACUCUAUUAAACUCAUAAGUUACAAGAAAUGAAAAGUUUUGAAAGUUUACAAAACUUGCCCUCAAGUUUUGGAACAAGUAAAGUUAAGUUAAAACUUUAGUUCCAACCCCUAGAAUUUUAAAAGUUAAAAUUCAACCCUUAUACUUAUAUUAUUAUGAUUUAAUAAUUAUAUAUAUAUGUAUAAGAACAAAGUCGUCUUACCGCUAGUACGCCUCAUUCACGAAGCCGGUCUAUAAGGUGGGUAUAAGGUUGUUGCCUAUAAAAUGGUGACUUAAUGGGUGUCCACUCUCACCCACCGCUUGCUUGAUCGGUGGAGGGUCGUUAGCCGAACGGGUAAGACAAGGACUUAUUAAUUCUCAUUCAAAGUAUGAUGAAUAUUAUAAAGUAACUAAAUGUUUUAUUAAAUUCCCAAUCUUAGUUACUUUAGGAAAAAUGUGAAUAAGGUGCUAUUCCAUGAAAUUACACUUUACACUUUGAUUAAGUCGUUGGUGGAGCGUGUGUGGUUAACCGGCACACUAACUUGGACUUAACAAGGUAGGUAAAGGGUGACUUAGGGUUUAUUAUAGUAUCGAUGGAGCGUGUGUGGUUAACCGGCACAUCGAUUGAGUGAUAAACUUUAAGGGUACCAAGUGAUUUGCAUGGUUACUUCACACCUCGUUUUGUGAUCCUCGGUAUCCCAGUCACAAAACUUGGAGGGCACACUCGAGAUUGAAACAUGCCUUUGAAAAGUUCAUUGAAUCUCAAAGAAUCUAGGAAUUUCUAAGAACCAUUCAAAAACCUAAUACUAAAAUAUUGCGGUUUUCGUGGUGGAAAUUGGUGAAUCGUCAUUCACCUACCUUUCAAAUAUGAUAUAGCUUAGAUUACGGCAUACCUCUUCUAAGUUAUAUUAUAUUGUGAUUGGAUCCUAGCCUUAAUAUUACAUUUGGGUGUUUUAUUAAGGACUCUCUUAUAUCUAAACUAAUCUUGUCCUCUUUCCUUCAGAUGUCUUUCAACAAUGCUUCUGGCUCUAAUCCUAAUGGCUCCUUUACCCUUAUGAACUUGUGUGGGAAAGUCACCUUUGAUGGAUCCAACUUCAAUGAGUGGAUCAGAAACAUCAGGAUGAUUACCCGCUACGAGGACAAAGAAUAUGUCCUUGACAAGGAGCUUAAGGAGAUUGAUGAGUCCACUGCAACUCCUCAGGAGAUCGCUGAAUUUCGGGCACAUGAAAGGGAUGCUACGAAAGUGGCUUGCAUCAUGAUGGCCACGAUGACAGCGGAACUCCAAAAGUCUUAUGAGGAUUUCUACCCUUAUGACAUGCACCAAGAUUUGAUGGAAAGAUACCAUCAAAGUGCAAGACAAGAGAGGUAUGAAAUCAUCUGCUCCAUGAUAACAACCAUGAUGAAGGACGGGGAAUCCGUCACGAGCCACAUGCAGAAAAUGCAAAGGUAUGUGGAUCGUUUGCUGAAGCUUAAUGUGAACUUCCCGGAGGAUCUUGCAAUAGAUAUUAUUUUGCAUUCCUUACCAUCGUGCUAUGAUCAAUUCCGCAUGACAUAUCACAUGAACAAGGAAGAAGUCACCCUCAGCAAACUUCAGGGACUUCUCAAGACCGCAGAAACAGGUCUUAAGGGGAAGUCGGUUGCUAUCACUCCUACUCAAAACUCUACUCCGGUUUUGGCAAUCGGGAAAAGUCGAGGGAGGAAGAGAAAGAGCUCUUCUAAGGGUACCAAGGCUCGGACCCUUGAUGGCUCUUCUUCAAGUGGAACCAAGAAAGGUUUCGUUACUCCUUCUUCUGACCCAAAAGAGGCUGAAUGCUUCUAUUGCCAUGAAAAAGCUCAUUGGAAGCGGAACUGCCCAAAAUACCAGCAAGAUGUGAAGGAUGGGAAAGUUAAACCCAACCAUGCAGGUAUUUACACUAUCAUUUCUAAUAACUCACCCCAUUCUAAUUCUUGGGUCCUUGAUACCGGGUGUGGUAUUCACAUUUGUUGUGACUUGCAGGGACUAAGAAGAAGUGAGGAUGUGGAGCAAGGAAGGAUAAACUUGAUCAUGGGGAAUAGGAAAGCUAUACCUGUUACCAAGAUUGGAGUUUAUACUUUAUCGCUAAGUAGUGGGUUUAGUUUAGAUUUGAAUAAGUGUUGUUAUUCGCCAGGAAUGGCAAGAAAUAUUAUUUCCUUUCAUGCUUUGUACAAACAAGGGUUUACCUUUUCAUUUAAUAAUGAAGUUGGUUCUAUAGAUGUUUUCUAUAAUAAUGUCUUUUAUUUUAAAGCAUUACCUUGUGAUGGUGUGUAUGAAGCUGUAUCUGUUGUAGAUAACUUGGGAAAUAAUGUUUUGUGUAUUGAUUCUACUAAUAAUAACUUGGAUAAAGCAUCUUUAUGGCAUUGUCGUCUUGGACAUAUAAGCAAGAAACGCAUAGGCCAACUCCAAAAGGAUGGAGUCUUGGAGUCGUUUGACCUAAAGUCAGAUGAUAGUUGCGAAUCAUGCUUACUUGGAAAAAUGACAAAGUCACCCUUCACAGGUUCGUGUGAGAGGGGUGAAGGUUUGUUGGACCUUAUACACACGGAUGUGUGUGGACCAUUCAAACAUGCCACAAGGGAUGCUAAUCGUUAUUAUUUGACUUUUACUGAUGAUUAUAGUAGAUAUGGAUAUGUCUACUUGAUCAAGCAUAAGUCAGAGACUUUCGAGAGGUUUAAGGAAUUUAAACAGGAAGUCGAGAAUCAAUUGGGCAGGAACAUUAAGAUGCUUCGAUCCGAUCGUGGUGGUGAGUAUCUUAGUUCAGAGUUCCUCGACUAUCUAAGGGAAUGUGGGAUAGUCUCACAAUUGACACCUCCCAGGACACCACAGUUGAAUGGUGUGGCUGAGAGGCGUAAUCGAACCUUGUUAGAUAUGGUUCGUUCCAUGAUGAGUCGAGCUACGCUACCAAUCUCAUUCUGGGGGUAUGCCUUAGAGACUGCCGCCCAUAUUCUUAAUCUAGUCCCUACAAAGAAAGUUGCCAAAACUCCUCACGAGAUGUGGACUGGUAAAGUACCUAAACUAGACCACAUCAAGAUUUGGGGUUGCGAGGCUUUCGUGAGACGCGAGACUCAUGAUAAGCUCGAACCUCGAAGCGAGAGGUGUAUUUUCAUCGGUUACCCACAACAAUCCUUUGGUUACCUCUUCUACAGACCUAGUGACAAUGUGGUCUUUGUAGCAAGAAGAGGAGUCUUUCGAGAAAGAGAGUUUAUAAGCCAAGGAGACAGUGGGAGGCAAAUUGAUCUUGAAGAAAUUCAAGAAUCAAGCGGUGAAGGAACUUCAAACUCUAGCCCUCAACUUGAGGAGGAAACUCCUGUUGAGCCAAUUGACAAAUCUG